rnacentral:rRNA from 1 species
GAUGAACGCUGGCGGCGUGCCUAAUACAUGCAAGUCGAGCGAACAGACGAGGAGCUUGCUCCUCUGACGUUAGCGGCGGACGGGUGAGUAACACGUGGAUAACCUACCUAUAAGACUGGGAUAACUUCGGGAAACCGGAGCUAAUACCGGAUAAUAUAUUGAACCGCAUGGUUCAAUAGUGAAAGACGGUUUUGCUGUCACUUAUAGAUGGAUCCGCGCCGCAUUAGCUAGUUGGUAAGGUAACGGCUUACCAAGGCAACGAUGCGUAGCCGACCUGAGAGGGUGAUCGGCCACACUGGAACUGAGACACGGUCCAGACUCCUACGGGAGGCAGCAGUAGGGAAUCUUCCGCAAUGGGCAAAAGCCUGACGGAGCAACGCCGCGUGAGUGAUGAAGGUCUUCGGAUCGUAAGACUCUGUUAUUAGGGAAGAACAAAUGUGUAAGUAACUAUGCACGUCUUGACGGUACCUAAUCAGAAAGCCACGGCUAACUACGUG